rnacentral:rRNA from 1 species
UACAGAGGUCCCAAGCGUUGUUCGGAUUCAUUGGGCGUAAAGGGCGCGUAGGCGGCGAUUCAAGUCAGGCGUGAAAGGCCUGGGCUCAACCCGGGAACUGCGCUUGAUACUGGAUUGCUUGAGUCCGGGAGAGGAUGGCGGAAUUCCCAGUGUAGAGGUGAAAUUCGUAGAUAUUGGGAAGAACACCGGUGGCGAAGGCGGCCAUCUGGACCGGAACUGACGCUGAGGCGCGAAAGCGUGGGGAGCAAACAGG